rnacentral:rRNA from 1 species
UAGUCGUUGGUGUCCUAGAGACAUCAGUGAUGCAGUUAACACAUUAAACAUUCCGCCUGGGGAGUACGGUCGCAAGAUUAAAACUCAAAGGAAUAGACGGGGACCCGCACAAGUGGUGGAGCAUGUGGUUUAAUUCGAAGAUACGCGAAGAACCUUACCUAGCCUUGACAUAUUUUAGAACUCAGCAGAGAUGUAGAGGUGCCUUCGGGAGCUAAUAUACAGGUGCUGCACGGCUGUCGUCAGCUCGUGUCGUGAGAUGUUGGGUUAAGUCCCGCAACGAGCGCAACCCUCGUCACUAGUUACUAACGAUUCGGUCGAGGACUCUAGUGAGACUGCCUUCGUAAGGAGGAGGAAGGUGAGGACGACGUCAAGUCAUCAUGGCCCUUACGGCUAGGGCAACACACGUGCUACAAUGGUUAGGACAAUGAGAGGCGAUACCGCGAGGUGGAGCAAAUCUAUAAACCUAAUCUCAGUUCGGAUUGUAGUCUGCAACUCGACUACAUGAAGCUGGAAUCACUAGUAAUCGUAGAUCAGCUAUGCUACGGUGAAUACGUUCCCGGGUCUUGUACUCACCGCCCGUCACACCAUGGGAGUUGAUUUCACCCGAAGCGGGGAAGCUAAACUGGCUACCCUCCACGGUGGAAUUAGCGACUGGGGUGAAGUCGUAACAAGGUA